UACGAAGGGGGGCUAGCGUUGCUCGGAAUCACUGGGCGUAAAGGGUGCGUAGGCGGGUUUUUAAGUCAGGGGUGAAAUCCUGGAGCUCAACUCCAGAACUGCCUUUGAUACUGAAGAUCUCGAGUCCGGGAGAGGUGAGUGGAACUGCGAGUGUAGAGGUGAAAUUCGUAGAUAUUCGCAAGAACACCAGUGGCGAAGGCGGCUCACUGGCCCGGUACUGACGCUGAGGCACGAAAGCGUGGGGAGCAAACAGG
rnacentral:rRNA from 1 species